rnacentral:rRNA from 1 species
GCCAAACAGCUAGCCUGACCACCAACAUAAACCAGCGAUAUAGAUAACGAAACAUAAAUUUUUAUCAAAAAUUAAACCAUUUUUUUACCUGAGUAUGGGAGACAGAAAAGGUUCAACCCAGAGCAAUAGAAAAAGUACCGCAAGGGAAAGCUGAAAGAGAAAUGAAAUAACCCAUAUAAGCACCAAAAAACAAAGACUAAACCUUGUACCUUUUGCAUCAUGAUUUAGCCAGUACCCUUAAGCAAAGAGACCUUUAGUUUGAAACCCCGAAACCAGGUGAGCUACCCCGAGACAGCCUAAGUAAUUUAGGGCUAACCCGUCUCUGUGGCAAAAGAGUGGGAAGAGCUCCGGGUAGAAGUGACAGACCUACCGAACCUGGUGAUAGCUGGUUGCCUGAGAAAUGGAUAGAAGUUCAGCCCCGUAUGCCCCGUACCAAAAACAUCAUUUUAAGAUUUAGGGAAACUUAUGGGAGUUAGUUAAAGGGGGUACAGCCCCUCUAACAAAGGAUACAACCUUUACAGGAGGAUAAAGAUCAUAAUAUUUAAAACACACUGUUCUAGUGGGCCUAAAAGCAGCCACCUAAACAGAAAGCGUUAAAGCUCAGACAGAAAGAAGUUUAUUAUAAUGAUAAAAAAUCUUAUUCCCCUAAUAGUAUCAGGCUAUUCCAUGCUCACAUGGAAGAGAUUAUGCUAAAAUGAGUAACAAGAAGACUUGAUCUUCUCCAAGCACAAGUGUACACCAGAUCGGACCAACCACUGGAAAUUAACGAACCCAAACAAAGAGAGUAUUGUGAAUUAUAUAAAAACCAGGAAGACCCCACAAUUAAAUAAUCGUUAACCCCACACUGGAGUGCUAUAAAUUAAGGAAAGACUAAAAGAAAGGGAAGGAACUCGGCAAACAUAAGCCUCGCCUGUUUACCAAAAACAUCGCCUCCUGCAAACAAAUUAAGUAUAGGAGGUCCAGCCUGCCCAGUGACUACGGGUUCAACGGCCGCGGUAUUUUGACCGUGCAAAGGUAGCGCAAUCACUUGUCUUUUAAAUAGAGACCUGUAUGAAUGGCUAAACGAGGGCUUAACUGUCUCCCCCUUCCAGUCAGUGAAAUUGAUCUAUCCGUGCAGAAGCGGGUAUAAUUAUACAAGACGAGAAGACCCUUUGGAGCUUAAGGUACAAAAUUCAACCACGUUAAACAACUAAACAAAGAGGGGGAACUUAGUGGGACCUGAAAUUUUACCUUCGGUUGGGGCGACCGCGGAGGAAAAAUCAGCCUCCGAGUGGAAUGGGCCAAAACCCUAAAACCAAGAGAAACAUCUCUAAGCCGCAGAACAUCUGACCAUUAAUGAUCCGGCCAAACAGCCGAUCAACGAACCAAGUUACCCUAGGGAUAACAGCGCAAUCCUCUCCCAGAGUCCAUAUCGACGAGGGGGUUUACGACCUCGAUGUUGGAUCAGGACAUCCUAAUGGUGCAGCCGCUAUUAAGGGUUCGUUUGUUCAACGAUUAAAGUCCUACGUGAUCUGAGUUCAGACCGGAGCAAUCCAGGUCAGUUUCUAUCUGUAACGCUACUUUUCCUAGUACGAAAGGAUCGGAAAAGAGGGGCCCAUACUUAAAGCACGCCCCACCCCUAAUUAAUGAAAACAAAUAAAUUAAAAAAAGGGAGGGCCAAAACCCCUACCGCCCAAAAUAAGGGCAU